rnacentral:rRNA from 1 species
GCAACGAGCGCACCCCUAUCCUUAGUUGCUAGCAGGUAAUGCUGAGAACUCUAAGGAGACUGCCGGUGAUAAACCGGAGGAAGGUGGGGAUGACGUCAAGUCAUCAUGGCCCUUAUGGGGAGGGCUACACACGUGCUACAAUGGCCGGUACAGAGGGCUGCGAAGCCGCGAGGUGGAGCGAAUCUCAGAAAACCGGUCGUAGUCCGGAUUGCAGUCUGCAACUCGACUGCAUGAAGCCGGAAUCGCUAGUAAUCGCGGAUCAGAACGCCGCGGUGAAUACGUUCCCGGGCCUUGUACACACCGCCCGUCACACCAUGGGAGUGGGCUGUACCAGAAGUAGGUAGUCUAACCUUCGGGAGGACGCUUACCACGGUGUGGUUCACGACUGGGGUGAAGUCGUAACAAGGUAGCCCUAGGGGAACCUGGGGCUGGAUCACCUCCUUU